UGGGGGAUAUUGCACAAUGGGCGAAAGCCUGAUGCAGCGACGCCGCGUGGGGGAUGAUGGCCUUCUGGUUGUAAACUUCUUUUGCUCUGAACAAGGCAUGCUAAUGGGUGUGUUGAGUGUAGGGGUUGUUUAGCGCCGGCUAACUACGUCCCAGCAGCCGCGGUAAUACGUAGGGCGCGAGUGUAGUCCGGAAUUAUUGGGCGUAAAGGGCUUGUAGGUGGUUGGUUGCGUCUGUCGUGAAAGCUCAUGGCUUAACUGUGGGUUUGAGGUGGGUACGGGCUGGCUUGAGUGCAGUAGGGGAGGCUGGAAUUCCUGGUGUAGCGGUGGAAUGCGCAGAUAUCAGGAGGAAUACCGGUGGCGAAGGAGGGUCUCUGGGCUGUUACUGACACUGAGGAGCGAAAGCAUGGGGUGCGAACAGG
rnacentral:rRNA from 1 species